rnacentral:misc_RNA from 1 species
GAAAUGCGAUAAGUAAUGUGAAUUGCAGAAUUCAGUGAAUCAUCGAAUCUUUGAACGCACAUUGCGCCCGCCAGUAUUCUGGCGGGCAUGCCUGUUCGAGCGUCAUUUCAACCAUCAAGCCCCCGGCUUGUGUUGGGGACCUGCGGCUGCCCGCAGGCCCUGAAAAACAGUGGCGGGCUCGCUGUCACACCGAGCGUAGUAGCAUACAUUCUCGCUCUGGGCGUGGCAGCGGGCACUUGCCGUAAAACACUCUUUCUAAGGUUGACCUCGGAUCAGGUAGGAAUACCCGCUGAACUUAAGC